GUGCUAACUUCUACAGCACAUAUACUAACACUGGAACAAUACAGAGAUCAGCAUGGCCUCUGCACAAGAAUGACAUACAUGCAAAUUCGUGAAAUGUCCCGUAUUUUU